UCUCCCUGGACCAGCCACCAGCCAGGCCCAAGGGAAGCAUCCAAGGACCACCACGCAGGGCUUUGCACUGGGAGAAGUGACUUUCCUUUCACAGCUCGCAUUCCUGCCGCUGUUGAAGCACCAGCUCUCUCUCAGUGAUCCUGUGGAAGGUGACUCAUGUUGAUAUAGACAUGAUAAGGGACAGGAUUUCCUUCCCCACUUCCCACCUGCGGGCGCUGAGGCUGUUCACAGGAUCACAAAACAGGGCGGAAAGGGACCUCUGGAGAUCACCCAGUCCAAACCCCCUCUCAUGGCAGGGUCACCUGGAGCAGGCAACACAGGAAUUGGAAUGUCUCCAGAGGCACGGAAGAAGAGACCGGCCCCCACCCGGCUCACUACAGCCCCCGGUCACGGAGUAGAAUUAUUCUCCAGAAACACCUAUUCACGAUCCUGUUUGCUCAGGAGAUUGGCAGAUGUUCACAGAGGGUCAGUUAUUCCCACACUUUACACCAAAAUCUAUGGGGAAUGCCGGCACUGAACAGAAACCCGCCCCUCUCCUCCAAAGCCUUGAUGCGAUCUACGUGCUCCCAGGUUAUCCCACUGCUGGGCACCAUCGGGCUUUGCAGGAUGAGCCCCUUGCUGUGCAAAGCACAGUCCCUUCUGCCUGCCUGCAUGCGUGGUGCUUUCCUGCUAGAUGGAGGUUGUAUGAGUGCUGUGGAAAAUGCAGGUACAAAUACAGAUUCGUGGAUAACCUGCAAUCCAUCGCUCCAUGCAUCUCCAACUUUUCUUUUCAGGGUCAGCUUCUAGUACCAGCCCGUGGCAGAAGAAUAAAAACAACUCGGUUAGACUCCCCUGGCUGUUUUCAAGUUAUAAAAUAGCAAUUCCCUCUCCUUUUAUUCAUUACUUUUUAGGCAGAACACUAUUAGAUUUAGCGAUUUCCUGGUUUUCACAGAAGUUUGAUCACAGUUAUGCAACAUUAGGUUACAUUACUCUGGGUGCUUUAAUACUGCUAAUAAUUAUUGUCUAGGUUCAUGAGCAACAGAGCUCACAAUUUGUGGUGGUUGUUAUCUCUCUGAUUUGUGAUCACUUUCCAUGCAGAUGUGCCUCUGUACAGCAAUUUAGGUGCUAUAUAAAUCAAAAUAUUUUGUCAGUGUACUGGCUGCACUGAGAAAAAUCUGAAGUUUCUUGUAUCUUCUUCUUUUUUUGUCUUCCUCUGUAUUUCCACUGCAUUACUAAGAAAGUUUAUUGUCUUGUUACAUGGUAGUAAGAAUUUCAGCAGUCUAGCUAAAAGGAACAGAUCCAGCAAUUACAAAACUCACUAAGAAGUAAAUGAGGCACCACUUACAUUGCAGAAUGCUUACCAUCAGUUCUGAUAACGCAAGUGGCAAAAAAAAUGCUUGGUGGGGCUGAAAAGUGUGGUUUUAAAAGUAUGUUUGCAAAGCUAUCAUAAAAAAUAGGCAAGGAAAUGUAUUUUAUUAGCUGACUUCGAAAAUAUUUGUGUAACUCUGUUUGCAUCACUGUAUAUGUCUACAUAUUUCUGUUUUUUUCAGAAUGAUCUCAAGGUCAUUCAGAGCUCCUGGGAACUUCAGCUAUAUUUUUCUAGUAAGUUAUUUCAGUCUUCCAAGUCCAAUUUAAGUAUAAACACAGUUUCCAUGCACAGCAGGUUUACAGUAUCUCUGUUUGCUUAUGUUAAAAGUUACCGACUACCCAGGUCGGUUCAGCCAGUCAGAUUGCCCUCUUCAAUAAACAUUCUGACACCA